UACGUAGGGUGCAAGCGUUGUCCGGAAUUAUUGGGCGUAAAGAGCUCGUAGGCGGUUUGUCGCGUCUGCUGUGAAAAUCCAGGGCUUAACCCUGGACCUGCAGUGGGUACGGGCAGACUGGAGUGCGGGUAGGGGAGAUCGGAAUUCCUGGUGUAGCGGUGAAAUGCGCAGAUAUCAGGAGGAACACCGGUGGCGAAGGCGGGUCUCUGGGCCGAUACUGACGUGAGGAGCGAAAGCGUGGGGAGCGAACAGGAUUAGAAACCCCUG
rnacentral:rRNA from 1 species